GCGGGCUGCCGGCCGAGACUUCUGGAUGGCGGCGGCCGCGGCUCCGCCCCGGGUUCCCACCGCCUGAAGGGCGAGACAAGCCCGACCUGCUACAGGCACUCGUGGGGGUGGGGGAGGAGCGGGGGUCGGUCCGGCUGGUUUGUGGGUGGGAGGCGCUUGUUCUCCAAAAACCGGCGCGAGCUGCAAUCCUGAGGGAGCUGCGGUGGAGGAGGUGGAGAGAAGGCCGCACCCUUCUGGGCAGGGGGAGGGGAGUGCCGCAAUACCUUUAUGGGAGUUCUCUGCUGCCUCCCGUCUUGUAAGGACCGCCCUGGGCCUGGAAGAAGCCCUCCCUCCUUUCCUCCUCGCGUGAUCUCGUCAUCGCCUCCAUGUCGAGUCGCUUCUCGAUUAUGGGCGGGAUUCUUUUGCCUAGGCUUAAGGGGCUAACUUGGUCCCUGGGCGUUGCCCUGCAGGGGAGUGAGCAGCUGUAAGAUUUGAGGGGCGACUCCGAUUAGUUUAUCUUCCCACGGACUAGAGUUGGUGUCGAGGUUAUUGUAAUAAGGGUGGGGUAGGGAAAUGGAGCUUAGUCAUUCACCUGGGGCUGAUUUUAUGCAACGAGACUGCGGAUUAUCACUACUUAUCAUUUUUGGAGCAUUUUUCUAGAGACAGACAUAAAGCAUGAUCACCUGAGUUUUAUACCAUUUGAGACCCUUGCUGCACCACCAAAGUGUAGCAUCAGGUUAAAUCUUAAUAGAAAAAUUUUAGCUUUUGCUUGAGAAACCAGUGCUUCCCUCCCUCACCCUCUCUCCCCAGGCUCUCUACCCCUUUGCAUCCCUACCAGGCAUCUUAGCAACUCUCACUCAUACUUGAUCCCAUUUUCCAUUUGUUGUACUUGCUCCUCUAGUAUUCAGACAUAGCACUAGCUUUCUCCCUCUCUUGAUCUUGGGUAGCCUGGUGUCUCGCGAAACCAGACAGAUUGGUUCCACCACAAAUUAAGGCUUGAGCUGGGGCUUGACUCUUACCCAGCAGUGCUUUUAUUCCUCCCUAGUUCACGUUCUUAAAUGUUUAUCUUGAUUUUCAUUUUAUCCUUUUUCCUUAGCUGGGAUUCUGUCCCUGACCGUCUUCACAGUCCAGGUGAUCUUGACUACUGCUUUACAGAGAAUUGGAUCUGAGGUUAGGCAACAUCUCCCUUUUUCUUCCUCUAAAUACCUCUCAUUUCUGUUCUUACCAGUUAGUAACUGAUCUCAGAUGCCUGUGUGAUAGCUUCCAAAUUGCUGUCUCUGUCUUUAGUGUUAUCUUUUGAUCCAUCUUACAUCUUGUUAGGAUGAUUGUCCUAAAGGAAGAUAGAGCAUGAAAAUGACAGGUGAAACUCCAUUACUGGCUUGUACUGUUUACAGCAAGUUGUCUAACCCGCGGGCCGCAUGGGACCCAGGACAGCUUUGAAUGCGACCCAACACAAAUUCGUAAACUUUCUUAAAGUUUUAGGAGUUUUUUUUGCGGGGUGUUUUUUUUGUUGUUGUUGUCUGUUUUUUUUUUUUGCUCAUCAGCUGUCCUUUAUAUGUGGCCCAAGACAGUUCUUGCAGUGUGGCCCAGGGAAGCCGAAAGAUUGGACACCCCUGGUUUACAGGAUGAAUUCUGUUCUCGUGAAUGUGAUGCAUAAGGUCCCUGGAUAGACUUUCCUCAAUUUAACAGCUUUUUCAUUUUUCACUAUUUUCCACAUACUACACACACAAAUAUGACCUCUCUCCUGAAGUCACAUGGAAUGAAUUGCAGUUACCCAAAUCAUAGAGACGUCAUAUAUCUUUGUGGGGUGGUUCUUUUUGGAAUGCUACCCUUGCUGCUUUUAAUCCUGCAGAUUCAAAUGUCAUCUCCCCUUUGGUCAUGCCUUCCAUGGUCUGUUGUUCUAUGACCCAAACUGCCCUUUUAAAAAAGCAGUUUUCUUCUGACUCCUGAGCAGUUUGUACUGCGUGGGUCAUAGUAAUUCUGGGGUUGUUGUCAUUGCUGAUUUAAAUUACCUUAACUAUUCUGAGCUUUUUGAAGGAAUAGUGUCUUGUACUCCUGAGCUCCUAGUAUACUCUGAUGUCUAGCCAACUUUAAGUAAAUGGAGUGAGCGACAUGUAAAUGUCUUUAUGGUUUGACAUUUUAUUAAUCUUGAGCAUUGGAAAAGUGGCUGGUAUGACUAAAGAACUGAAUUUUUAUUUUUUAUCUAAUUUGAAUUGCAACUGUGGACAGUAUAGCUGUAGCCCCGGACUUGUUCUGUGGAUUACAGAAUACGUGGACAUUGAUGGUUUUCUCUUUUUACUGAGCAGUAAGGAAAUAAAAGCUGAAGCUCUCUGGCCCAUUACAUUUCAUUUAACUGCUUGUUUUGUUUUAUUUAUUAUAUAUUUAGCUGAAAGCUAAGUCCAACAAACCAUUUUUAAAGAUGUGCCUGCCUUGGACAACAGUGAAAGCAAGCGUUAAUGAGUUUGGAUUUCAAAAAAAAAUGCAUAAUGAAUUUUAGGGAGGUGAGAUUCCAUUAAACUGUUACAGGAGCUACAUAGUUAAAUAUAUCAGAACUUGAAUGAAGAAUAGGUCUGUGUGAUACAAAUGAACCCAGCCUAAAUUUCUGUCCUACAAGUUUUCACUUCCUGGAAACACUUGAUUGGAGGAGCUCUAAGCAUCAUAUCUUGAGUUAUAGAAAACAAUCACAAAGUUGCUCCUUGAGGGCAGGACAGUUCUUAUGGCUUUAUCCGUUGCGUAAGCACAGAGAGGUCUGCGAGGUCAAAACUAUUGUCAUGAUAGCAAGAUGCCUGUCUUUUUCAUUUAUUCUCACGGUGUGCAGAGGCUACAUGAUGUGUGAUGACAUCCUCAUUGAUGUUAAUGAAUGGUGCUAUACUUGAAUUUUCUAAGGUGUCAUUAGAUCACUCCUUUAUUGUACAGAUCAGGAAAAAGGAUUUAGUACUGCUAUGCUCAAAUGAACACUGGGCCCAUGUGUCAGGGCCAAGCAACUAGAACAUGAUUCAGAAAUCAGUCAGAGAGAGACACACUUGGACAAGACCAAGAGGCAUUUCAUUGUCACGAAACAAGGUGGGGGAGGGAUUCCAAAACACACAGCAGGAAGUACUUCUAACCCUCAGAGGUCAAGGAGCUUAUUCCAUGUUGGUAUGAGGAAUGGCUUAUUUUCUGAUGACCACAUGUGGGACUAUUUCAACUGCCACGAGAAAUCCCAGAAGGAUUAUUGUUUUGUAUUAUUUAUAUAUACUAUACCUUUUUAAAAAAAUAAAAUAAAUGUAACACA
rnacentral:lncRNA from 10 species